rnacentral:rRNA from 16 species
GGCCGAAAAAGACCCUAGUGCGAUCUACGCCCAGCCCGUCGAUAUCGAGGAUGGACUCACCCGUGAGCAGGCGGAGAACGUGGCG